GCACACGCUGUGACGCUGGGAGUGCUGAUUUGCACUGGUUCUGCGCUGGGCCAACGCUGGCAUCGCUGUAUUUCACUGGUGCCAGUGCGCAGCGCACUGGAUACACAAGUUGUAGGCGGCACGCUGGGACGCUGGGCGCUGGAGCCAGUGCGAAAUGCGCUGGGGGCACCGAAAAAGGUCUGCAGUCGCUGGUACACUGGCACGCCGUCCGCUGGGGCGCUGGGGCCAGUUCGCUGGAGAGGCAUGCACUGGUUGUUGGACGCUGGGAAGGUGGCGCACUGGGCCGCACUUCAGCGCUGGGAGCUGCAACGGCUGCGAGGCCUGGCGACAUGGAACGCUUCGCGACUGUGAUGUGUUGUGCACGGAGGACGACUUCGUAAGCGUGUAUACAUGUGCGCGAAUAAAUGUACGGUGAGAAAAAGAUGGAUAACCUCACGUUGAAAGUUCCUUCGACGAUCGGGGAGAUAUAUGCAGGAUGGAGGCCUCCCCCAAGUAAUCUCCAAUUACCAAGUUGUGCAUGUGAAUUUUGUGAUGUCAUCAUACCAGACGCAAUACUCUGCCGUCCUCAAUUGCGCUUCCAUUUCCUUGGCAUCCAUUCUGUGACUCUACUAGACCACCAGUUAUCUGCCCUACAUGAAUGGUUUGUCCAGCUCCAUUUUUUCCUCUUAAUGUAAACUAAAAUAUUGGCUACCCCUGCUUGCUCUUUAAUCUA